rnacentral:piRNA from 1 species
UAGCACGUCUUGGAUGGCCAGAAAAAGU